rnacentral:rRNA from 1 species
AACGAACGCUGGCGGCGUGCUUAACACAUGCAAGUCGAACGAGAAAGCGGGCUUCGGUCCGCUAGUAAAGUGGCAGACGGGUGAGUAACACGUGGGUAACCUGCCCGGAGGUGGGGGACAACCCUCCGAAAGGAGGGCUAAUACCGCAUGAUAUCCCUGAGGCUUCGGCCUUGAGGAUCAAAGCUAGCCUCUACAUGUAAGCUAGCUCCACCGGAGGGGCCCGCGGCCCAUUAGCUAGUUGGGAGGUAACGGCUCACCAAGGCGACGAUGGGUAGCCGGCCUGAGAGGGUGUUCGGCCACACUGGAACUGAGACACGGUCCAGACUCCUACGGGAGGCAGCAGUGAGGAAUCUUGCGCAAUGGGCGAAAGCCUGACGCAGCGACGCCGCGUGGAGGACGAAGGUCUUCGGAUCGUAAACUCCUGUCAAGUGGGACGAAGGCUGUUGGGAUGAAUAAGCCCAGCAGUUGACGGUACCGCUGAAGGAAGCCCCGGCUAACUCCGUGCCAGCA